GUUUUCAUAGGAAUAUUUGAAAAUGCACUUCAAGGUGCGGAAGGCUAUAAUUUGGAAUACGAGGACUCCCAUGAGACCACCACAGAUAACAACGAAGGCACCGCUGAGACAGCGGCACCAAGGCUGAAGAGACCUACAAACACCACAGGCAGCUUCGAAAAAAUUGACUGAGUGAUCUACAGCACAGAUUGCACCCAUAAUCCCAACGUGUGCAAGAACUGACAAAAUGACAUAUUUGGAGGGAAUAUAAAUUGUGGAAAAUAAAAAUUAAUACGAAU